rnacentral:vault_RNA from 1 species
GCACUGGUUUAGCUCAGUGGUUACUUCGAACACAUUUUCUCCUGUAGAAAAACUGCUCUCCAUCCCUCCCUGGGAUCGAACCACGGGCGCUGUCCAGUGUUUUU